AGAGUUUGAUCAUGGCUCAGAGCGAACGCUGGCGGCAGGCCUAAUACAUGCAAGUCGAACGCACCUUCGGGUGAGUGGCGGACGGGUGAGUAACACGUGGGAACGUGCCCUUUGGUUCGGAAUAAUCCGGGGAAACCUGGCCUAAUACCGGAUGUGCCCUUCGGGGGAAAGAUUUAUCGCCAUUGGAGCGGCCCGCGUCUGAUUAGCUAGUUGGUGGGGUAAAGGCCCACCAAGGCGACGAUCAGUAGCUGGUCUGAGAGGAUGAUCAGCCACACUGGGACUGAGACACGGCCCAGACUCCUACGGGAGGCAGCAGUAGGGAAUCUUGCGCAAUGGGCGAAAGCCUGACGCAGCCAUGCCGCGUGAAUGAUGAAGGUCUUAGGAUUGUAAAAUUCUUUCAGCGGGGAAGAUAAUGACUGUACCCGCAGAAGAAGCUCCGGCUAACUUCGUGCCAGCAGCCGCGGUAAUACGAAGGGGGCUAGCGUUGCUCGGAAUUACUGGGCGUAAAGGGCGCGUAGGCGGGUACUUAAGUCAGAGGUCAAAUCCCAGGGCUCAACCCUGGAACUGCCUUUGAUACUGGGUACCUAGAGUUCGGGAGAGGUGUGUGGAACUCCGAGUGUAGAGGUGAAAUUCGUAGAUAUUCGGAAGAACACCAGUGGCGAAGGCGACACACUGGCCCGAUACUGACGCUGAGGCGCGAAAGCGUGGGGAGCAAACAGGAUUAGAUACCCUAGUAGUCC
rnacentral:rRNA from 1 species